AAAGAGACAAGAGUCACCUUAAGGAGUUGACUAAAUGAAAGUAAAAGAUAGAAUAACAUUUUGAGGGUUUAAAUCUAUGCCAGGACUUUUGAGUGGUAGCAUAUUGUGAGUAGGAAGGCAGUACUUCAAAAAUGAGUUCCCAUGAGAAAAGAGAGAAUGAAGACGCUAUGUCUAAAAUAAGAUGUUCUCCUGGAUCAAACUGUGCAUCUUUGUGGGAUAAUUACAUUUGUGACCUGCCCCAUGAAAUAAAUGAAGCAACAGAGACUUCCAGUGACUCCAGCAGGAAUAAAACACUGAGAUUAGAAUUUCCAGACCUCAGCGGUGUGUCUAUGAAAAGUACACAAUCCAUGUUUAAUCAUCCUUCAAUCAGUGAUGGAACAGUGACUUCUGCCCAACACAUUGUUAAGAUAGAUAAAACAAUUACAUCCCACAAUCAGACCCAAAUCAGGCAGGAAAGACCCGAAGAAGUCCUGCAUAGGGCUAGAG